UCUGAAACAUAGAGCAAAGCAAAACUUUAAAAAAUGCUUUAAAGUUUUGCGUGGUUAGCUCUUACUACAUUUCACUUUUUGAACUUUAGUAUCCCUCUCCUGGCCAUUGCAGCACCAUCUGAGCCUCCAUCACCCUCCUCUGAACAGUACUGCAGCCCUUCAACCCUCCCUCCAAGCCCCUCACCAACCCAUGCUGUGGACCACAGCAGCCAGGCGGAUGCUCUGUUCCCCCAGCACUUGUCCAGCUCUGCCAUAGCCACCCUCACAACUUUACCCAGCUAGUUCUGUAAAUGACGUCGGGCUUGUCACCCCAUUAAGAUGUAGCUUCCUAGGGGCAGGGACCAUGUUUGCCUAAGGCUGUGUUUUGGGACCAUGGCUGGCACAGUGGCCAUGUUUGUUGAAUAUUUGGGUUAAUAGCAUAGUUGAUUUACCUCUUUUAAGGAACUCUUAUGAAUAAAAUGAGUGCAUAUAUUUUUGUAAUGAAAUACCUGGAAAACCGUGGCUUUGAAGGGUCAGGUGUUCUUAGAGAAGUCACUCCACAGCCUGAGUUGUCUGCACUGGGCAAGUUAAUGUCUCAGAGCUCCCCCUGAACUCCCCAGGGCUGAGGAUAUGGAAUUGUGGGACAUGCUGUAACUGUGGCAAAAACAAGAUAUGCCUGCUGAGCUGGGUGGAGCAGGCGGGGGUGGCUAGAGAGGUUCCUGGGGUGACUCUUGGAGUCCUGGGAGUUCGAGGUGGAGAGGAAUGGUGCUUGUGGACCAUGGGUGCUGCCAGCAUCCUCUUCUUGCCUCUUCUCCUGGCCAGAGGGCCACCUUCCUCAUCUUCCUGCAUCUCUGCACGCUCCCUGUUCUCUCCUCGCACUGUGGUCCCCCCAACCAAUGCAGGCAUGACUCCACUCAGGCCCAGAGCAUUCUGCACUCGCAGAGCAUGCUGAUGGUGUCAGCCAGCUGCCAACAACAAAGGUACGGUGACUGACUAGUGUAUGUUCACUUGUAGUAAGGUGGCAUGUGUCCCUUAAAGGAGAGGCUUAGGAACACCUUUCAACCUCAUCGGAAUUGUGCUUUGGACUGAGUGAACUUGCCAGGCAUCUUGUAAAGGUAAACUUAGCAUCAAGUGCAUUUGUGUUUACAGGUGGGAAAAACCUUGGCUCAUACCUUCAUCUUUUGACAGACUCUGUAAAGUAUGAAGAACACACAAGAUCUCGAUCCUAGAACCACCCACAGGGUACAAUGCUAAGAAUAUAGACACAGGUUUAAAUCUUAAUACCUUUUACCUGCUGUUGGGGGAUGGGGAAGGCAGUUCUUCCAAGAGAGGUGAGUCCCCAUGGGAGCAGCUGUUCCAGGCCAGGCUGUAUGUGCCAAGAUGCUUUUCCUCAUGUCCAGUUUCCUGGCUGGAUAUAUUCUCAUUCUGCAGUGGCUUGUUUUAUUGUGGAAUAAUCAGGGCAUUCUUCGUGGCAAACAAAAAAGCUCCUAGCUGUGCUUUUCAAAUCCCUGCUCUGAGUUGAAUUUGCUUCAUUA